GGGAAGCUUGUAAAGACAGACAGACCAAAACAUGUUCUGUUUGUUACAAUCUGCUUCCUCGAGAAAAACUGCCUUUUGAUAACCGGCAAAUUAAAGGAAAUUGUAACGGACAGAUGCAGGGCAAAUAUUC